rnacentral:lncRNA from 1 species
AUCAUCCACUCGAAGCUCUGAUCGGAUCUUCCUUCAUGAGAGUGCUAGCCCACAUCGAAGACAAAGCUCCUUUCUUUGGAUCUCCCAAACUUCUCUAGAUCAGAAGACAAAGCUUUACAAAGAAGUGGUGGUCUAGAAAAUUGAACAAAACUCACUCUUGAAAUUUUCUUCUCACAAAAUCUAGAGUUAAAACUCUAGAACACACCCUACACCUCAC